AUUGACGCUGGCGGCAGGCUUAACACAUGCAAGUCGAACGGUAACAUAAAGAAGCUUGCUUCUUUGAUGACGAGUGGCGGACGGGUGAGUAAUGCUUGGGAAUCUAGCUUAUGGAGGGGGAUAACUACGGGAAACUGUAGCUAAUACCGCGUAAUAUCGAAAGAUUAAAGUGUGGGACCUUCGGGCCACAUGCCAUAGGAUGAGCCCAAGUGGGAUUAGGUAGUUGGUGAGGUAAAGGCUCACCAAGCCGACGAUCUCUAGCUGGUCUGAGAGGAUGACCAGCCACACUGGGACUGAGACACGGCCCAGACUUCUACGGGAGGCAGCAGUGGGGAAUAUUGCGCAAUGGGGGCAACCCUGACGCAGCCAUGCUGCGUGAAUGAAGAAGGCCUUCGGGUUGUAAAGUUCUUUCGGUAGCGAGGAAGGCAUUUAGUUUAAUAGACUAGGUGAUAUGACGUUAACUACAGAA
rnacentral:rRNA from 1 species